rnacentral:rRNA from 1 species
GACGAACGCUGGCGGCGUGCCUAAUACAUGCAAGUCGAGCGCAGGAAAUCGACGGAACCCUUCGGGGGGAAGUCGACGGAAUGAGCGGCGGACAGGUGAGUAACACGUAAAGAACCUGCCCUCAGGUCUGGGAUAACCACGAGAAAUCGGGGCUAAUACCGGAUGGGUCAUCGGACCGCAUGGUCCGAGGAUGAAAGGCGCUCCGGCGUCGCCUGGGGAUGGCUUUGCGGUGCAUUAGCUAGUUGGUGGGGUAAUGGCCCACCAAGGCGACGAUGCAUAGCCGAGCUGGGAGGGUGAUCGGCCCCCCUGGGACUGAGACACGGCCCAGACUCCUACGGGAGGCAGCAGUAGGGAAUCUUCCACAGUGGACGAAAGUCUGAUGGAGCAACGCCGCGUGAACGAUGAAGGCCUUCGGGUCGUAAAGUUCUGUUGUAAGGGAAAAACAAGUGCCGCAGGCAAUGGCGGCACCUUGACGGUACCUUGCGAGAAAGCCACGGCUAACUACGUGCCAGCCGCCGCAGUAACAC